GUGGGGAAUAUUGGACAAUGGGCGAAAGCCUGAUCCAGCCAUGCCGCGUGUGUGAAGAAGGUCUUCGGAUUGUAAAGCACUUUAAGUUGGGAGGAAGGGCAGUAAGUUAAUACCUUGCUGUUUUGACGUUACCAACAGAAUAAGCACCGGCUAACUUCGUGCCAGCAGCCGCGGUAAUACGAAGGGUGCAAGCGUUAAUCGGAAUUACUGGGCGUAAAGCGCGCGUAGGUGGUUCAGCAAGUUGAAGGUGAAAUCCCCGGGCUCAACCUGGGAACUGCCUCCAAAACUACUGAGCUAGAGUACGGUAGAGGGUAGUGGAAUUUCCUGUGUAGCGGUGAAAUGCGUAGAUAUAGGAAGGAACACCAGUGGCGAAGGCGACUACCUGGCUCGGUUCUGACGCUGAGGCGCGACAGCGUGGGGAGCAAACAGGAUUAGAAACCCUGGUAGUCC
rnacentral:rRNA from 1 species